GAGUUUGAUUCUGGCUCAGGAUGAACGCUAGCUACAGGCUUAACACAUGCAAGUCGAGGGGCAGCAUUAUCUUAGCUUGCUAAGAUAGAUGGCGACCGGCGCACGGGUGAGUAACACGUAUCCAACCUUCCGGUUACUCGGGGAUAGGCUUUCGAAAGAAAGAUUAAUACCCGAUGUUGCGUAUCUUUCUCCUGAAAGAUACGCCAAAGGAUUCCGGUAACCGAUGGGGAUGCGUUCCAUUAGGCAGUUGGCGGGGUAACGGCCCACCAAACCUUCGAUGGAUAGGGGUUCUGAGAGGAAGGUCCCCCACAUUGGAACUGAGACACGGUCCAAACUCCUACGGGAGGCAGCAGUGAGGAAUAUUGGUCAAUGGACGCAAGUCUGAACCAGCCAAGUAGCGUGAAGGAUGACUGCCCUCUGGGUUGUAAACUUCUUUUAUACGGGAAUAACAUGAGGUACGCGUACCUUAUUGCAUGACCGUAUGAAUAAGC
rnacentral:rRNA from 1 species